UCACUAAAUUCUCUUUCAAGUCAUAGCAUAAUAUAACAACAUUAUAACAUAACAAAGUUCCUAAUGCCAAAAAGGCCCCCACACUCCUAUUUAUGAUGCCAAGAUGACGCCAACAAGUGGGUGGGGUCCGGUGACGGCCAAGGGGCUGGGCGUUCCGCUUUUUAAAUCACUGAUGGGUGCACCCCUGUAGCGUAUGAGGCUACUCCAAUACAAAGGUCCUCUCAUAGCAUAUGUGCACCGGCUCUUCUAAGUUGGGUUAUACUAUAGAAGAGUGGCUUCCCAUGCGACUGUAAGUGCACAUGCCAUGGAAUGGUCUCGUGCCAGGGUACGAACUCAUGUCCCAUAAGUCUUGACCAUUCCAUACAGGGCCGUUUCUUGACAAACACUCAAGUUCUAUUGUACUCAAUUGGAUUCUCCAAGCCCUGGCAAAUUACAUCAAACCCGAGGCAUCCUAACCUACAUAUAUAUCCUUGACUUAGAGAUGACACUCACACCUCCUUGAGAGAUUGGUCUCUCUCUCAAAGUGUAAACUCUCAUUGCCUCAUGUACUCGAGGUAUGAGAAUUUCGGCCCCAGUUUGCCAAGCACCCAAAUUCUAUUUCUUUCACUCACUCCCAUUAAGCAAAUGACUUUUGGCAUUAAGGCCUUGAAAGGCAAUAUAGCCAAAACGUAUAUGGUAAUUUUCUAGUUCAUGCUUUUUUUAUUCAAUUGCAUCUUUUAUGUAAUUUUCAUAUCUAUGUUGUGAGUGUAAUCUUGUUUUAAUGGCAAGAAAGUGAGAGUCCUUGGGAUUUUAUUUGUUUCAUAUAUUGUAUUUGAGCACUUUUGAAUGAUUUGGGUGGCAAUAUAAAAGAAAAGAUAGAAAAUUUUUAAUCAAUAUUGACUUGCCCGAUCACAUAGUCCACCUUUCACAAACCCCGCCCCCCUUUCUAAAAGGCGGGAAAAGGGUCUUGGGGUGCAUUCUUGCUUACCAAAACCUCUAUUGUAUGUCUUUGAGAAAGAAAAUUUCUAAAAAUCAAUCGAUUUUGCGAAUUUUUUAGAGAUUGAAAAAACUUCAACUUUUUUUAUUUCUUGCAAAAUCGAAAGAUACUUCAUGAUACUUUUUGGAGCUUGGAUUGGUCAUCUGGGAGGACUUUUGGUGACCAGAGAUCACCUGGGCCGAUACGGGCUGCAUUUCGAAAAGGUUAGUGCAUUAGAAUAUUGAGUUGGGGUUUGGAACUUUUUUGUAUAAUGUGUAUGAUUUGAAUCAUUUGAUAUUCUUUUACAAAAAAAAAAUGAUAUUCUUUUACAAGAUUUUUUUUUUCUUUUGUGAUAUGUUUAGGCAUUACAAUAUUGUAUUAGAAUAUUGCAUUACAAAUUCAAUAAGUGUUUUAGAAUAUUGCAUUACAUAUAUGUGUUUUUAUCUUUUUGACUUUUGAUGACCAACUUACCCCUUUGUGACUUUGUGUAUUAUUUCUACAAAUUACAUUUGGGAUUUGAUGCAUUUUGAUGUGUCUUUCAAUCUCUCUGUAUAUCUAAUACUUUGUUUUUUUUUUUUUAUCUCGAGGGGUUUGGGCCUCUAAAAUCGCCCUAAGAACCUACUAGGCCUAAACCCCUGCUCUAAGAAGUCCUUUUUUGUUUCUUUGGGUUGGGGACAUUGCUCCCAACCAAGGGCCUAAUCCUGCUCCAGAAGCUCACUCCAACACUCCCGUGAGGGGGAUCUCACUCCUCCGUGAUUUUUUAUCUUUAGGAUCUCAAUCCUUUCUAUAAGGGAUCAAGAUGCUGAGAUACACAGGAUCCAAAGUCCUUUGCAUCAUAAAUCAGGGUUCAUAGGUAAAUUGAACCAAGGUUCCACCAAGGUGUGAUCUUGAUCCCCUGGUAGAUUCUGGUCAUGAGUUCAAACCUUGAACUUGAACUUAAUGCUAAAUAAUAUCUUAUUUUACAUAAUUAGUUGACAUUUUUAAGUAUUAUAUAAUAUAUUAGUUGCAUGUUUUGUUCACACACAUAAUUUUCAAUGGUGGUGGUAGACCAUGCUGUCCGUUUUGGGCUUUUUAAUAGGUCACAAGUUACCUUGAGUUUCAACUAGAUACUUAUCUUGAUACUUUUUAUUCAACAAAGAAGAUGGCAUGAUUGGUAUUAUGUUACAUGAAAUCAUAAACAACACCCACAGAAUGCAAAAACUAAAAUAUUAAUAACAAUUCAGUUUCCUU
rnacentral:lncRNA from 1 species